GUUAUUUUGGCAGAAUAGUGCGUCAGAUUUAGAAUCUGUUUAAGUAAAAAUUUUUUACAUAUAAUAC
rnacentral:tRNA from 1 species